CUGGGUCCAAACCCUGUACGUUGGACACACUGUGCAUGUUGAUGUGGUGUCCGUACGGGUUCAUGACUGACGCGAACGGCUGUGUGGUCUGUCAGUGUCAGCUCAACCCCGACACGGAUUUUACGAACCUUUUGCAAGGGUGAGGCCCUUGCAGAUGGAUGGGU